GCCAUAGAGCUAAAAAGAGUCGCGACACUCCCAUUGGACUCCGUUGUACGCUGUUUGCCGCCCACUUCCGGGGUAUGCAGCCUCGCAUAGUUCCAAAAAGCCAUUCUAUGGCGUCGGACAUCAUUCACUUCCAUUGCUGACUCUCGAGUAACUUCUGAGACCACCGAUUGCCUGCUAGUUUUGUUAGCUUGACUUCGCCCUCUGUAAAGCUCCAGCCAGCAUAAACACCAGUGCAUGCGUCGCUUGUCCUUGGUGGUCAGGCAGCGUGAUGUUGCCAAAUAGCCUCCCCGUUCCCAGAUGGAGCUCCACGCCUGGAGUAAUGGACAUUUCAUCUAAGUUGCCUUAUUAGGUCCUCCACAAUUGCACUAUUAGAACCUGGCAGUCUGGUCCCUGGAGCACCUGGCCCUGGCAAAGUUGGUUCAUCGUUGCUGGCUCCUGACUGACUGGCCCUCGGCACACACAUCCCUGGAUCACCUGCCCCUGUGUCCAGGACUCAGAUGAAGAGGAUGUUAGUAUGCGUUGUCGAGAGGAACUGCCCUACAGUGACUGGCCAUAGUGCAUACUGGAACUCCACAGAUCUUGCUGGACCAGCAGUAUCGUUGUUGUGGCCAUCACAGGUUUCAGUGGAGCCCCCCCCCCCCCC